rnacentral:lncRNA from 1 species
CUUUUGAGGCUUGUCAUGAAUUUUUAAGUAAGCAUUUUAUUCUUUUAGGGUAAGAAACAAACGAAUAUCCUGCCCAUUUCAAAACUACAGCCCUAAUGUACGUCCUCUGUGUCUCAGGCAUGUGUUUGCAUGCGAUGGAGGGAGGGACCAUGUUCUCCCUCCUGUGUCCCCCAAUCCCAGAGUUCCUCCAUGCCCUGUGUCUUGUCUACCUUCUGUCAUGUCCGAGAGUACCUACUGCCCCAGUCACUCCUGAUAUGAAGCCAAAGAUGGUGGGAAGGGCGGGAGCAGUGUGGGGACCUCUUAUUAGGGAAGCAGGCCUUCCUCCGUGGGAGGGGGAGCACUGGUCAAGGGGAGCAACAGAUGGACACUGGCUCAGUUCAGGCCUCUGCCCUCCCAGCAUGGGAAAGAUGGGCCUAGUAGACGCUGCACUGAUAAGGUUCUAGAAUGUACCCGAGAAGCCAAACUGGGCUGGAAUGAGGAGGGCAGUGUUCUCUUCAAAUGUAGCAUUGCAUCUGGCCCUGGUCCCUUCAGAUGCCCUGUCCAUCUCCUUGGUGAGCCUCUGCACAGUUGGACCCAAUCCCAUAACCCAGUGUCCCUUCCUCACACGCAAUACCUCAGCCAGGGGCCAAGACACAGAACUUGAAUAGAGGUCCUGCCCCUCCACCCCACAGUGCAUCCUUGCCCAGUUUGGCCACCAUCAGUAUUGCCCCUGAGAACUGAGAACUGGAUGGGCUUCGUUUACACAGCACAGGGGGUCCCUCCUGGGGAUCCCUCCACCUCCUUCCCACCCACGCUUGCGUCACCUACAUUCUUAGCCAUUUUUAGUUGUGUCCCUUGAAUGUCUUGCCACCCUUGCCAGGGGUGAGCUGAGGGGAGAGGGGCCAUCCCAGGGAGCCCUUCCUCCCGACAGAUCCCCUGCAUCAUACCUCAUGCUGGUCCCAGAAGCCUGGGGUGUUUGUCUCAACCUUUCUCUUUCACAGUCUCUGUUUAUCUUUGUGUUGCCGCCCCCAACCCUCAGAUCCUAAACCAUUUCAAGGCUUCCAAAUGACCAUUAUUGGUGAGAAGGACUGUGCAGCUUUUAGUUUUUAUUUUUAUUUUCAAAGCCAAAGGGCCUUGCAAUGCCCCUCUUGCCCACACCCCUCCAUGUCCUCUCCUUCCCUAUACGACAAUCAAUGUGACCUCUCUUAAGGGCUGCCGCCCCCACCCCCACCCUGCUGGUUCUGCAAAGCUUGUCCCCUAACUUCAAUUCUCUCUCCAAAAAUCUUCCCAUUUCACCCCCCCCCUCUCAUCUUGGUGCUGGGAAUGAGGUGGUGGGGGGAUGGGGAGCAGGAAAACGGUUUCCUGAGGUGACUGGGGUACCCGUCGUGUUCUCCUUUAUCAAUGCUUGGUGACAGAAGACAGGAGAGUCUGUGGAUUUGUCAGGAGCCCCGUUUUGUUUUGCUAGAUGAGAUUUCUGGUGGCUGUCUGCUCCCUGCUGUCCCGUGCAUACUGUCAGCAAUGCUGGGAAGAAGGCAGGGGUCCUCUGUCCCUCCUCAUGUGGCUGUGAGGAGGCCUGGAGGACAAGCAGCCUCCUCUCCUUAUGCCAAAGGAAAUCCCGCACCCCACCCGGGGUUCCCAGCCCCUGUGUUUUUUGAAGCAUUUUGACCAUUCUCAUGGCCACUGCAUAUUUAUUUUAAUGUUAAGAUUUUUUUUAAAAAAAAAAAAAAAACCUUUUUGACUUAAACGGGUGUGGAGAAGUAAAACAGGCAGAAUGCCCCCCAAUCUUAAGGGGGUGGUGUGGGGAGGGAACACCUCCUUCCCUCUCCUUCUCUACCCUCCCCUCUCCCCACCGCAGCUCUAAAGCACUUGCUUCAAGUAAUAAGCACUUUUGUGAAAAGGCCUAUUUACAUGAGGACCGGCCGGGGACAGCCCUAGGUCCCAGCAAAGGAGAUAGAGUAGGGCUACAUAGGAGACAGGGAAACAGACAUGGGAAUCAGAGGGUGACACGAAAAGAGCCAGUUUUUAGUUUCUGAUUUUGGGGGAAUGUUUCUGAUUGGGCGGUGGCUUUGGUAGGUUUGUGUACUUCAGAAAAACAAAUGGCACAAACUGUGGGUCCCAGAAUGGACCAAAGACCCGGGUCACUGCCACUGUCCAGCUGAGACUCUGAGACUAACGGGCUACCUCCCCCACCCGUGGCCCCCUGAGCCAUAGGACUGCUGAAAACCACUGAAUGUACAGCCCAGGUUGGGGUGGGGAGUUGCCCCUGGGGGAGGGGGCUUCUCCUUUUGUUUGGUGCUGUGGGGGGUGGGAGACUUGAGACUGAGGGACUGCCACCCCAGGUAGACACGUGUUCCUUGGGGUGGAGGGGCUGAGGAGGGCCGCCUCCCUCUCUAACCCCAGCCAUGGCCCCUCCUCCCUCCUCACCCCUAUCCGUUCUGACUGUAAGUCCAGCUCACCUUUGCCUUCAAUAUGUAACCAAA